rnacentral:rRNA from 1 species
ACACAUGCAGUCGAACGAUGAAGCCCAGCUUGCUGGGUGGAUUAGUGGCGAACGGGUGAGUAACACGUGAGUAACCUGCCCUUGACUCUGGGAUAAGCGUUGGAAACGACGUCUAAUACCGGAUACGAGCUUCCACCGCAUGGUGAGUUGCUGGAAAGAAUUUUGGUCAAGGAUGGACUCGCGGCCUAUCAGCUUGUUGGUGAGGUAAUGGCUCACCAAGGCGACGACGGGUAGCCGGCCUGAGAGGGUGACCGGCCACACUGGGACUGAGACACGGCCCAGACUCCUACGGGAGGCAGCAGUGGGGAAUAUUGCACAAUGGGCGAAAGCCUGAUGCAGCAACGCCGCGUGAGGGACGACGGCCUUCGGGUUGUAAACCUCUUUUAGCAGGGAAGAAGCGAAAGUGACGGUACCUGCAGAAAAAGCACCGGCUAACUACGUGCCAGCAGCCGCGGUAAUACGUAGGGUGCAAGCGUUGUCCGGAAUUAUUGGGCGUAAAGAGCUCGUAGGCGGUUUGUCGCGUCUGCUGUGAAAUCCCGAGGCUCAACCUCGGGUCUGCAGUGGGUACGGGCAGACUAGAGUGCGGUAGGGGAGAUUGGAAUUCCUGGUGUAGCGGUGGAAUGCGCAGAUAUCAGGAGGAACACCGAUGGCGAAGGCAGAUCUCUGGGCCGCUACUGACGCUGAGGAGCGAAAGGGUGGGGAGCAAACAGGCUUAGAUACCCUGGUAGUCCACCCCGUAAACGUUGGGCGCUAGAUGUGGGGACCAUUCCACGGUUUCCGUGUCGUAGCUAACGCAUUAAGCGCCCCGCCUGGGGAGUACGGCCGCAAGGCUAAAACUCAAAGGAAUUGACGGGGGCCCGCACAAGCGGCGGAGCAUGCGGAUUAAUUCGAUGCAACGCGAAGAACCUUACCAAGGCUUGACAUAUACGAGAACGGGCCAGAAAUGGUCAACUCUUUGGACACUCGUAAACAGGUGGUGCAUGGUUGUCGUCAGCUCGUGUCGUGAGAUGUUGGGUUAAGUCCCGCAACGAGCGCAACCCUCGUUCUAUGUUGCCAGCACGUAAUGGUGGGAACUCAUGGGAUACUGCCGGGGUCAACUCGGAGGAAGGUGGGGACGACGUCAAAUCAUCAUGCCCCUUAUGUCUUGGGCUUCACGCAUGCUACAAUGGCCAGUACAAAGGGCUGCAAUACCGUAAGGUGGAGCGAAUCCCAAAAAGCUGGUCCCAGUUCGGAUUGAGGUCUGCAACUCGACCUCAUGAAGUCGGAGUCGCUAGUAAUCGCAGAUCAGCAACGCUGCGGUGAAUACGUUCCCGGGCCUUGUACACACCGCCCGUCAAGUCAUGAAAGUCGGUAACACCCGAAGCCAGUGGCCUAAC